UUCCGGUUGAUCCUGCCGGACCUGACUGCUAUCGGAUUGAUACUAAGCCAUGCGAGUCAUUGUAGCAAUACAAGGCAUACGGCUCAGUAACGCGUAGUCAACCUAACCUAUGGACGGGGAUAACCUCGGGAAACUGAGAAUAAUACCCGAUAGAACAUUAUGCCUGGAAUGGUUUAUGUUUCAAAUAAUUUAUUGCCGUAGGAUGGGACUGCGGCCUAUCAGUUUGUUGGUGAGGUAAUGGCCCAUCAAGACUAUUACAGGUACGGGCUCUGAGAGGAGUAGCCCGGAGAUGGGUACUGAGACACGGACCCAGGCCCUAUGGGGCGCAGCAGGCGAGAAAACUUUGCAAUGUGCGAAAGCACGACAAGGUUAAUCCGAGUGGUUUCUGCUAAAGGAACCUUUUGACAGUCAUAGAACCACUGUUGAAUAAGGGGUGGGCAAGUUCUGGUGUCAGCCGCCGCGGUAAAACCAGCACCUCAAGUGGUCAGGAUGAUUAUUGGGCCUAAAGCAUCCGUAGCCUGCUUUGUAAGUUUUCGGUUAAAUCCGUACGCUUAACGUAUGGGCUGCCGGAAAUACUGCAAAGCUAGGGAGUGGGAGAGGUAGACGGUACUCGGUAGGAAGGGGUAAAAUCCUUUGAUCUAUUGAUGACCACCUGUGGCGAAGGCGGUCUACCAGAACACGUCCGACGGUGAGGGAUGAAAGCUGGGGGAGCAAACCGGAUUAGAUACCCGGGUAGUCCCAGCUGUAAACUAUGCAAACUCGGUGAUGCAUUGGCUUGAUGCCUAUGCAGUGCCGCAGGGAAGCCGUUAAGUUUGCCGCCUGGGAAGUACGUACGCAAGUAUGAAACUUAAAGGAAUUGGCGGGGG
rnacentral:rRNA from 1 species